AUGGGGAGAGCUGGACCAGGAGACAUGAGUGAAGAGAGGAGGCGGUGUGAGAAUGUGGAGGAUAUGGCACUCAUCCAUGUGACUGUGUCGCACUGGGGCUUCAUAAUCUAUGAACUCCUGAGUCCACUGAGUUCUAGGAACUAUGGAACAGUUAGCACAAAUAAACUUCCUUUAGCUCUGUGUUUUCUGCGUCUUAAAUGAGAAACUAUCUUACAGCAAGGAUGUCCGUUCAAGAUUAUGUUUGUGCAAUGCUCUGGACCAAUUAGUAUCUUUACCUUACUGAAUUGAAGUGCUGGCCGUGCUGCCAUUGUGAUGUCUUGCAAGUACUGACCGUAGAUAUCAUCUAGACUAGAGCUUUAGGAUAUCAAGAGUACAAAAACAGGCCUGUUUAAUAUUAGCUUUUUGUGGUCAAGCUCCAAACUUGACCAUUGUUCCAAGGAGAUUUUUUAAAAAGCUUGCUUUUUGAGAUUGGAUGCAAAGGACAGGUCACAAGUUUGAAUUUCUGAGAAGACUUGAAAUCAAGCUGUAUGCAAUCCUGAAUUUCAUGGGUAGAAUGGCCAUGGAUUUGUUUUCCAGUUCUUAUAAAACAGAAUUUGUGAAACGGCCAUCAGAUGAAAUUAAGAAGAGCUAAAUGUAGAGAAAUUUAAAGGAAAUAUGACUUUUUAUAGUGAGUAAUAUACUUAAUGAAGUUAUUCUUCCAAACUUCAUAAGAAUGUAAACUGGUACAGCCACUAUGGAGAACAGUUUGGAGAUACCUUAGAAAUCUAUACAUAGAACUUCCAUAUGACCCUGCAAUCCCACUCUUGGGCAUCUAUC
rnacentral:lncRNA from 1 species